AUUGAACGCUGGCGGCAGGCCUAACACAUGCAAGUCGAACGGUAACAGGAAGAAGCUUGCUUCUUUGCUGACGAGUGGCGGACGGGUGAGUAAUGUCUGGGAAACUGCUGGAUGGAGGGGGAUAACUACUGGAAACGGUAGCUAAUACCGCAUAACGUCUCAAGACCAAAGAGGGGUACCUUCGGGCCUCUUUCCAUCGGAUGUUCCCAGAUGGGAUUAGCUAGUAGGUGGGGUAACGUCUCACCUAGGCGACGAUCCCUAGCUGGUCUGAGAGGAUGACCGGCGACACUGGAACGGAGACACGGUCCAGACUCCUACGGGAGGCAGCAGUGGGGAAUAUUGCGCAAUGGGCGCAAGCCUGAUGCAGCCAUGCCGCGUGUAUGACGAAGGCCUUCGGGUUGUAAAGUACUUUCAGCGGGGAGGAAGGGAGUACAGUUGAUACCUUUACUGAUUGACGUUACCCGCAGAAGAAGCACCGGCUAACUACGUG
rnacentral:rRNA from 1 species